rnacentral:rRNA from 1 species
CUCCUAGCUCAACUAGGAAACUGCCAUUGAUACUGUAGGGCUUGAAUGUUUGUGAAGUAACUAGAAUAUGUAGUGUAGCGGUGAAAUGCUUAGAUAUUACAUGGAAUACCAAUUGCGAAGGCAGGUUACUAACAGAUUAUUGACGCUGAUGGACGAAAGCGUGGGGAGCGAACAGGAUUAGAUACCCUGGUAGUCCACGCCGUAAACGAUGGAUACUAGCUGUUCGUUCGCAAGAAUGAGUGGCUAAGCGAAAGUGAUAAGUAUCCCACCUGGGGAGUACGCACGCAAGUGUGAAACUCAAAGGAAUUGACGGGGGCCCGCACAAGCGGUGGAGCAUGUGGUUUAAUUCGAUGAUACGCGAGGAACCUUACCAGGGCUUAAAUGGGAGACGACGGUUUAGGAAACUAGACUUUCUUCGGACGUCUUUCAAGGUGCUGCAUGGUUGUCGUCAGCUCGUGCCGUGAGGUGUCAGGUUAAGUCCUAUAACGAGCGCAACCCCUGUUGUUAGUUGCCAGCGAGUAAUGUCGGGAACUCUAGCAAGACUGCCGGUGUAAACCGUGAGGAAGGUGGGGAUGACGUCAAAUCAUCACGGCCCUUACGUCCUGGGCCACACACGUGCUACAAUGGCAGGUACAGAGAGCAGCCACUUAGCGAUAAGGAGCGAAUCUAUAAAACCUGUCUCAGUUCGGAUUGGAGUCUGCAACUCGACUCUAUGAAGCUGGAAUCGCUAGUAAUCGGAUAUCAGCCAUGAUCCGGUGAAUACGUUCCCGGGCCUUGUACACACCGCCCGUCAAGCCAUGGAAGCUGGGGGUACCUGAAGUCGGUGACCGCAAGGAGCUGCCUAGGGUAAAACUGGUAACUGGGGCUAAGUCGUAACAAGGUAGCCGUA